AUGGGAUCAAACUCCCGGCCUGAAUUAUUGUCCCAGUCCGCCUCUGAUGAUGACACACACAACUCGAUGGGUAGCUCGCUGAGCAAGUUGGUAAUCAAAAUCAUUCCCAUCAUAGGAACGACUGUGUAGCCCCAACAGGUUAGAGAGUAACAGAUCAGAGGUAUUAAAGGAUGUUUAACAGGUUAGAGAGUAACAGAUCAGAGGUAUUAAAGGAUGUUUAACUGGUUAGAGAGUAACAGAUCAGAGGUAUUAAAGGAUGUUUAACUGGUUAGAGAGUAACAGAUCAGAGGUAUUAAAGGAUGUUUAACUGGUUAGAGAGUAACAGAUCAGAGGUAUUAAAGGAUGUUUAACAGGUUAGAGAGUAACAGAUCAGAGGUAUUAAAGGAUGUUUAACAGGUUAGAGAGUAACAGAUCAGAGGUAUUAAAGGAUGUUUAACUGGUUAGAGAGUAACAGAUCAGAAGUUGAUUUAGAUAGUUUCACUCCUUAUUUAGUGAGUAGUGAGCUAGUUUCUACCUUUGUUCAUCGUAUACAACCUCCUGGACAACUUUCAGCUAGUCUGCAUGGAAGGUGGCAACCCUAUAGCUAGCUAACGUUAGACAGUGAUUGAUAGACCGUUUGAAAGUGUCCCACCUAGUUUUGUGUAAAAUAGUCUUUGUAUGGUUGUUGCACUACACGUUUAGCUACACUGCAUGUGUAGCUUGCAAACUCAGCUACACAUUAUUAUUAUUCUAAAUAUUCUUUAGCAUGUAGCCGAGGUCUAGAGCUGACAAGGUAAACUGCAGGUCUAGGACUAACUCUUACAUUAGCAACCCACCAAUAUGUGUGUGCCUGUACUGUCAUGGUAAUUAGUUUUUAUUUUAAAUCCCAGCAUGGAAAACCGAUGAGUUUGCAAGUUUACCUAGCAUGAUGGAUAAUUCAUUUUGA